rnacentral:tmRNA from 1 species
GGGGGUGAACAGGGUUCGACAGGGAUAGUGUAAAUAAUGGUUGCAGGCCGUGGUUGGCCGAAGGCCACGUUAACAAUCGGCCACUACAAAUAAGUGCAAACACUUACGCAUACGCUGCCUAACUAAAUGGCAGCACGCUUCUGUUUGACGCCUAUAAAACGGAAAGCGUCUAAAUAGGCUUACUUCUGAAAUUUGAAGCCCUGACAGCUUUCAGAAGGACAAAAUAAAUUGGGGACCGUUUUCAGCGUCAGGUUCAGAGACAAACUGAAAACGGCAAAAAAGUCUGAACUAAGCCUGUAGGCGCCUUAUUUGCGUAUUUUUGGACCGGGGUUCAAUUCCCCGCACCUCCACCA